rnacentral:lncRNA from 1 species
AUGGUGCUGCGAAAGUUACCCGGUGUCUCCGCAUCGGGCAUGGGGCUUCGUCUUUCUCAGAAAUUCGUCUUUCUGCUGUUCCUCUCGGGCUUGGUCACUCUGUGCUUCGGGGCGCUUUUCUUCUUACCCGACAGCGUGCGUCUGAAGCGCAUUUUCCUCUCCAAAAAUGAGAGUCCCGCGGUGACUGUGGGCUCCGAGAAUGAGCUUUCCAAAAAGGUGCCCGGGGAUCCAGAGCACCAGCGGGCGGGAUUAAAAGGUGCUGAGGCCAAUCUCAAACUGAAAGUGAGCCGCACGCCGUCGGUCACCCAUGGAGCGAGAACCGUGGAGAGAUCGGUUGGGAGCCGGGCGCAGGACGAGUGGAGCCCGGCGAGGGCGCAUGAACCAGCGGCCAGGGACGAGCGGGUCACCGCGGCGGCUCAUAACCAGGAACACAGCAGCUCUUUCAACUAUGAGGCGUUUAAAAAGUGCCUCCUGAAACCACCUAUCGGAAAGGACCAGGGGACUCCAUCUGACUCCGGGACGCUUCAGAGGAGGGAGAAAGUCAAAGAGAUGAUGAAGUUUGCCUGGGACAACUAUAAGCUUUACGCUUGGGGCAAGAACGAACUCCGACCUCUGACCAGGAACGGACACAUCGGGAACAUGUUUGGUAAGUGAAAUGAGGAUUUUACAUCCUAUUUUACUGUUUCUUUAGGGUGUAUUAAGUCGUAUUUUGCAGAUGAUUUUGUUUCUCUGCUCACAGGAUUGAAUAUGGUUUAUCAACAUGACAUCCCAAUGCAAAAGUUGUUUUAUUAAUGCUUAUAGGCUACCCUUAGCCCAUUUUGUAAAAUAUUGUGUUGCUUGUUCAUACUUAUUCAACUACUUAUACAUAGUUUUGGAGAUUUUUUGGGAAUUUUUGUUUAUGUUCAAUCCAUCUAAAUUUGUUAACUUAAUCAAUUUUUGUUGGAACAACACAAAUGAAGUGUGUGCACUCUUGCAUUUAUUUUUUUUACAGUGUAUACAUCCUUUAUUUAUUUGGUGGUAUGCAAAGAAAUGCAUUAAAUAAUCCUGUAAGUGGCAUUAGUGUGUAAAGAACUAAAGUUGUUGUGGUCAUACUGCCCCCUAGUGUUCAUUUCACAUACAAACUACAGUCUAAUGUGCGUUGAAGUACGUUUUUGCAGUUUCACAAACAUAUAAACUAAAGCACAUAUUUCCCCUGAGCCUGUGUUGGUUAUUUAUCCUUUAUAUACGGCUUGAUAAUUGAAGUGGCAUCUAAAAUGGACUGUGUUUUUGCUUUGUGUUUAUUAGAGUAUUGAGGGAUCACUUGCUGCACAGUUCUGAGAUCAGAGUCUCUCUGUAUUAACUGUGAGCGCUUGGUGUUUUACACAGUACUGUGUGUGUGCUGACAGAGUUGCUGACUGUGUAGAAAUGUUAUAAAUGUGGUUGGCUUUUUCUAUUAGGAUGCUGUCGCUGCAUGUGUGGAUGAUAAGACUGAAUACAAUUCAGAGCAAACUGACCACAACAUACAGGAUGUUGAAUUACAGUUUGAAUGAUGGAAGGGGGAAAAAAUAUACCGCAACAAAGUAUUUUCGUUCGUUUAUUUUUUUUUAUUUUUUUUUCUUGGUGAUAAUCCAAGGCUAGAAUGAAAAAACAAACAAACAAACAAACAAACAAACAAACAAACAAACAAACAAAUAAACAACCAAACAAACAAAUUAAAUUCAGAUUCAAACAAAUACAUAAACAUAGUUUAU